rnacentral:pre_miRNA from 1 species
CUUGUGUGUGAGUGUGUGUGUGUGUGUGUGUGUGUGUAUACAUAUAUAGAUACAUACACACACACACACACACACACACACAUA